rnacentral:rRNA from 1 species
GCAAAUCGCUCGGAUGAGCUGGGUAUAGGGGUGAAAGUCCAAUCGAGAUGGGCAAUAGCAGGUUCCGCGCGAGACUACUCGCAGGUAGAUCUUCGCAGAGAUAGAUUACGAUGUAGAGCACUGAUUGGGUAUUUAGGGGGAGCGAUCCCUCGGUACGCUGUCAAACUCCGAAGUUGUAAUCGUCGUAGAAGCGAGGAGUGAGCCACGGUGGGUAAGCUACCGUGACGAAAGGUGAAGAAACCAGCUCAGUGUUAAGGUCCCAAAAUUACAGUUAAGUGUUAAUUACAAACGGAGUCCGUGGUCGAAGACAACUAGAAGGUGGGCUUAGAGGCAGCCAUCCUUGAAAGAGUUCGUAACAGAUCACUAGUCAAGCUUGCGGGCCCGAAAAAUGGACGGGACUAAAACUGUAUACCGAUACACUGAUCCUUCGAAAGAAGAUGAGGUAGCGCGGCGACAUGCUCGGGUAGAAGCUCGGUUUUGAGAUCGGGUGGACCGUGUAUGUAUGAGAAUCUAGGGAAGAGUAGCAGCAUAGUGCGGUGAGAAUCCGCACCACCGAAGGGGUAAGGGUUCCUCGGCAAUGGUUAUCAGCCGAGGGUUAGCCGAUCCUAAGGUCAUUCCUAACCGAAAUGAUCGAAAGGGAAUUGCGUUAAUAUUCGUAAGCCCCUCUUACAUUAAUGGUGACGGCUUGGGCUAGUUUAUGCGCAUCAGUCAUGGUGCGUCGAAGCGUUCAAUAAUCGAAUGGAGAACCGUAAUGGUGAGAAGUUCGAGAAGACGUGAGCAAAAGAUAGAUGAGGCCUAGGUCCCAUGAAAAGCCGUAAGAGGUGAUCGUACCAAGAUCUGACACAGGUACCCAAGGUGAGAAGCCUAAGGUGUGACGGGCAAAGUAUCGUGAAGGAACUCGGCAAAAUCGCUCUGUAACUUCGGGAGAAGGAGUGCCAGGUUCGAGAGAACCUGGUCGCAGUAACAAGGGGACUCCGACUGUUUAAUAAAAACAUAGCCGACUGCUAGUUCGAAAGGAUGUGUAUAGUCGGUGAAUCCUGCUCAGUGCCGGUAUCUGAAAUCGGGUUUCAACCUGAUGAAGGACCGGUAAACAGCGGGGGUAACUAUGACCCUCUUAAGGUAGCGUAAUACCUUGUCGCUUAAUUGGCGACUUGCAUGAAUGGCACAACGAGAGUCCCACUGUCUCCACGAUACGUCCGGCGAAAUUGACUAUUACUGGCGCACAGUCCAGUAACCUCAACCUGCAAGCGAAGACCCCAUAGAGCUUUACUACAGCCUGGCGUUGAAUAAUCGCACACUAUGUGCUGAGUAGACGGGAGAUGUUGAUCAUCUGGACGCCAGUUCAGAUGGGAGUCGUCCAUAGAGACACCGUCCUUAGUUUGUAAUUAUUCUAACUCUUUUAGAGAACACCGUUUGGUGGGUAGUUUGGGUGGGGCGCCACGCGCCCGAAAAUAUAACAGGCGUGCCCAAAGGUCAGCUUAGGUGGUUCAGUCUCCACCGUUAACCGUAAGGGGAAAAGCUGGCUUGACGUGGAUCGGACCAAUAACGAUCGACGAUGCGAAAGCAGGGCCUAACGAACCAAUCUACCUCAUUUAUGGGGGUGAUUGAUAACAGAAAAGUUACCUUGGGGAUAAUUGAGUUGUCACCAGCAAGAGCACAUAUCGACCUGGUGGCUUGCUACUUCGAUGUCGUCUCUUCCCAACCUCCUGGUGCAGCAGCUGGGAAGGGUGGGGUUGUUCGCCCAUUAAAGGGGAUCGUGAGAUGGGUUUAGACCGUCGUGAGACAGGUUUGUUGCUUUGUGGUUGAGGCGUAUCAGAUGCCUGAUCGGAAGGGUCCUUUAGUACGAGAGGAACGAGGACUCGGAGCCACUAGUUUACCAGUUGUCCGACAGGGCAAUGCUGGGUAGCCACGCUCCAGUGGAUAAGAGCUGAAAGCAUCUAAGCUCGAAGUCAUCCGAAAGACGAGGCAUCU